rnacentral:misc_RNA from 1 species
CUUCAUAGAAAAAUAAAUAAAUGAAAUAAGAUAAAAAUUGUUCGAUUCAAAUUAAAAUUGGAAUGUUAAAAAUGGAUCUGAAUACAAAAACAAGCCAACCUCUAGUGUUAAAACCUUCAUUGAGCUAGAUUAUAUUUAAUGCUGAUGGGAGUAUAACUUGAAUAAUGGCACGGAUGGAAGAAAUGCUCCCCCAUGGAAAAGUUAGUAACUCGGCAUCUAAUCCUAGCAGGAGGGGUGGCAAUGUGCAGAG